rnacentral:rRNA from 1 species
AAGCUCGUAGUUGAAUUUCGGGAUUGACACAUUGGUCGUGCCCUAAGGGGUAUGAACUGGUGUAGUCAAUUUCUCACUUUCUGGAGAACCGCGCUGUCCUUAAUUGGGUGACGCAGGGAACCAGGACCUUUACUUUGAAAAAAUUAGAGUGUUUAAAGCAGGCAUUUUGCUUGAAUACAUUAGCAUGGAAUAAUAAAAUAGGACGGCAUGAUUCUAUUUUGUUGGUUUCUAGGAUCACCGUAAUGAUUAAUAGGGAUAGUUGGG